rnacentral:rRNA from 1 species
GACGAACGCUGGCGGCGUGCUUAACACAUGCAAGUCGAACGGAAAGGCCCCUUUGGGGGUACUCGAGUGGCGAACGGGUGAGUAACACUUGAGUAACCUGCCCUUGACUUCGGGAUAACUUCAGGAAACUGGGGCUAAUACCGGAUAGGAAUCCUUGCUGCAUGGUGGGGGUUGGAAAGCUUCGGCGGUUUUGGAUGGACUCGCGGCUUAUCAGCUUGUUGGUGGGGUAGUGGCUUACCAAGGCUUUGACGGGUAGCCGGCCUGAGAGGGCGACCGGCCACAUUGGGACUGAGAUACGGCACAGACUCCUACGGGAGGCAGCAGUGGGGAAUAUUGCACAAUGGGCGGAAGCCUGAUGCAGCAACGCCGCGUGCGGGAUGACGGCCUUCGGGUUGUAAACCGCUUUCAGCAGGGGCGAAGCUUGUGGUGACGGUACCUGCAGAAGAAGCACCGGCUAACUACGUG